rnacentral:rRNA from 1 species
CUGGCUCAGGACAACGCUGGCGGCGUGCCUAAUACAUGCAAGUCGAACGGUCUUUUCUAUGGAAGCUUGCUUCCACUGAGAAGAUAGUGGCGAACGGGUGAGUAACACGUGGGUAACCUGCCCAUAAGAGGGGGGAUAACAUCCGGAAACGGGUGCUAAUACCGCAUAGUUUUCUUGAUCGCAUGAUCGGGAAAGGAAAGACGGCCUUUGUGCUGUCGCUUAUGGAUGGACCCGCGGCGUAUUAGUUAGUUGGUGAGGUAACGGCUCACCAAGACGAUGAUACGUAGCCGACCUGAGAGGGUGAUCGGCCACAUUGGGACUGAGACACGGCCCAAACUCCUACGGGAGGCAGCAGUAGGGAAUCUUCCGCAAUGGACGAAAGUCUGACGGAGCAACGCCGCGUGAGUGAAAGAAGGUUUUCGGAUCGUAAAACUCUGUUGUCAGAGAAGAACAAGUUGGAGAGUAACUGCUCCAACCUUGACGGUAUCUGACCAGAAAGCCACGGCUAACUACGUGCCAGCCGCUGC